AGGGCGUGUAGUGGAUGCCUUGGCACUGAAAGCCGAUGAAGGACGUGAUAUACUGCGAUAAGUUUCGGGGAGCUGUAUGUAAGCUUUGAUCCGAAAAUUUCCGAAUGGGGAAACCCACCACUUUAUGUGGUACUUUAAACUGAAUACAUAGGUUUAAAGAGACAACCUGGAGAACUGAAACAUCUAAGUAACCAGAGGAAAAGAAAUCAAUUGAGAUUCCGUUAGUAGUGGCGAGCGAACGCGGAGUAGGCCAGUAGUUUUGUUAGAAAAAUUUGAAUAGUUUGGAAAUGCUAACCAUAGAGGGUGAUAGUCCCGUAUGAGUAAUGUCUAACAAAAUUCUUGAGUAAAGCGGGACACGAGAAAUCCUGCUCGAAUAUAGGGGGACCACCCUCUAAGCCUAAAUACUCUUCAGUGACCGAUAGUGAACUAGUACCGUGAGGGAAAGGUGAAAAGAACCCCUAUUAGGGGAGUGAAAUAGAACCUGAAACUGCAUGCCUACAAUCAGUCCGAGCCCUUUUUAGGGUGAGGGCGUACCUUUUGUAUAAUGGGUCAGUGACUUAAUUUAUUAAGCAAGCUUAAGCCAUCUAGGUGUAGGCGCAGCGAAAGCAAGUCUUAAUAGGGCGAUUAGUUUAAUGAAUUAGACCCGAAAACGAAUGAGCUUACCAUGAGCAGGUUGAAAGUUGGGUAACACCAACCGGAGGACCGAACCAGUUGACGUUGAAAAGUCUUUGGAUGACUUGUGGUAAGGGGUGAAAGGCCAACCAAAUUCGUAGAUAGCUGGUUUUCCGCGAAAACUAUUUAGGUAGUGCGUCGAAUAAAUAGAUGUUUAGAGGUAGAGCACUAAAUGGGCUAGGGGGAAGAGAUUCUUACCAAACCUAAUAAAACUCCGAAUGCUAGACAUUGUUCUUCGGCAGACAGACUGUGGGUGCUAAGGUCCAUGGUCGAGAGGGAAAGAGCCCAGACCACCAGAUAAGGUCCCAAAAUCAUGAUUAAGUGUGAAAGGAUGUGGAAAUUCCUUAACAGCCGGGAGGUUGGCUUAGAAGCAGCCAUCCUUUAAAGAUAGCGUAACAGCUCACCGGUCUAAUAGAGUUUCUGCGCCGAAGAUGUAACGGGGCUAAAAUCAUGUACCGAAUCUGUGGCUUUGCAAAGUUUUCGAACUUUGUAAGGGGUAGCGGAACGUUCUGUAAGCCUGCGAAGGGAUACCCGUGAGGGAUCCUGGAGGUAUCAGAAGUGCGAAUGCUGACAUAAGUAACGAUAAACGAAGUGAAAAACUUCGUCGCCGAAAAUCUAAGGGUUUCUAUGCAAGGUUAAUCCGCGUAGAGUUAGUCGGCACCUAAGGCGAGGGCGAAAGCCGUAGUCGAUGGAAACAAGGUUAAUAUUCCUUGACCUGAUGGUAGUGACGGAUUUCGUAAGUUGUGAGUUCUUAAUGGAUUGAACUUGCCGCGAAGAGGUCCCAAGAAAUAGCUCCAUCAUGAAGACCGUACCCGAAACCGACACAGGUAGAUUAAUAGAGUAUAUUUAGGCGCUUGAGAGAAUGAUGUUGAAGGAACUCGGCAAAAUGCUUCCGUAACUUCGGGAUAAGGAAGACCCUUUUGUAGGCAACUAUGGAAGGGUGGCACAAGCCAGGGAGAAGCGACUGUUUAUCAAAAACACAGGGCUCUGCUAACACGUAAGUGGAUGUAUAGGGUCUGACGCCUGCCCGGUGCUGGAAGGUUAAUGCGGUUGGUGCAAGCUAACUUCUGAAGCCCCAGUAAACGGCGGCCGUAACUAUAACGGUCCUAAGGUAGCGAAAUUCCUUGUCGGGUAAGUUCCGACCUGCAUGAAUGGCGUAACGAUUUCUCCGCUGUCUCCAACAUCAACUCAGUGAAAUUGAAUUCUCCGUGAAGAUGCGGAGUUCGCGUAGUUAGACGGAAAGACCCCGUGCACCUUUACUGCAACUUUACAUUGGUGUUAGGAAAAACAUAUUUAGCAUAGGAGGGAGACUUUGAAGCAAAGGCGUCAGCUUUUGUGGAGUCACCAGUGAAAUACCUCUUUUGUUUUUCUUGACAUCUAACCGCUAGCCGUCAUCCGGCAGCGAGACAUUGUAUGGUGGGUAGUUUGACUGGGGCGGUCGCCUCCCAAAUAGUAACGGAGGCGUGCGAAGGUAGGCUCAGAACGGUCAGAAAUCGUUCGUAGAGUGCAAUGGCAUAAGCCUGCCUGACUGUGAGACUGACAAGUCGAGCAGAGACGAAAGUCGGUCAUAGUGAUCCGGUG
rnacentral:rRNA from 1 species